rnacentral:lncRNA from 1 species
AGAAGAGAUCAUUUAUUUGAAAUAUUCCUGCCAUGUUGAUGGAGCAGCUCAAUCUUUUGCCAGUGAAUUUUUAGCGUUUUGUUUUUUCAUUUGUAGAUAUGCUUGAACAUAUACUUAGGACACGUAAUAACUAUGGAACUUCAUCACAAACACAGCACUGAGGACAUGUUAAGGAGACAUGCAUACAAGGAGAAUGCCAGGUGAACGUGAAGACCAUCAUUUGCAAGCCAAGAGAGGCCUGGAGCAGAUCCUUCAGAGCCCUCAGAAGGAACCAACCCUGCUGGCACCUUGAUUUUGGACUUCCAGCCUCCAGAACUAAGAACUUGAUGUAUACCUCCUGACCUGUUCAUCUUGUAGCUGCCUCUUGACAGGUUGCUGACUUCGCCUGGAGGGACUCUAUCAGAUGGAAUCUCCCUCUGUCAUCCCAGCUGGAGUGCAAUGGUGCGUUCUUGGCUCACUGCAACCUCUAUCUCGCAGGCUCAAGUAAUCCUCCCACUUCAGCCUCUUGAGUAACUGGGACCACAGGUGCACACCAUCAUGCCAGGAGAAACAAAUGCCAAACAGUGAA